AUGAAAAAAUUCGAAGGGUAUUCAGAAAAACAUAAAUCUCGUCAACAAUACUUCGUCUACCCACUUCUCUUUCUGGAAUAUAUUUAUGCAUUUGCCCACGAUUAUGGAUUAAAUGGUUCUGAACCUGUGGAAAUAGUUGUUAGUUGUAAUAACAAGAAAUUUAGUUCACUACUUGUGAAACAUUUAAUUAUUCGAAUGUAUCAGGAGAAUUUUUUGGAUAACUCGAUUCUAUCUGAACGGUUUGCGAUCGUUGUGGAAAUCCCAUUAUCGCUAUGGGAAUUAUUGUGUCCGAAAGAAAAAGAAAUACCAAAGCUUCAGAAUUUAUGCUCUAUUCUUUCAAUAUUCCCUUUUUUGAAGACCAAUUUUUGCAUUUGGAUUAUCUAUCACAUAUAG
rnacentral:rRNA from 1 species